CAGUGACAAAACGCGCUCUGCUUGUCCUUUAAGGGCUACUGUACAAACAUGGUGGCGACUUCCAUGUAAGAGACCCGCGGUGUAUGUAGAUAUAAAUUGCUCAUUCUAAGUUAAUAAAAACAUGACGGUUCAUUAUGUAAGGUCUUUAUACACCUCUGUUAUGUAUAUUAUAUUGCAUUUCUGUCAAUAGAUCCUCCUAAAUAUUACACACUGCACCUUUAAGUGUUUUAACCAAUAAUCAGUUAUUGAUAUUUUUAUAGGCACUUUUGUUGAGAAAUGCCACCACUUGAGUCUCUAAAGAACAGCAAAAACAACAGAAUCCAACAAAUGUUUAUGGACACUUUUUUUUAAAAUGACGCUACUUGGUGGGUCUCUGAAGAACAGCACAAACAACAUCACACUGUUGUAGGUUACAACAGAAAACAGCUGUUUACAGGUACUUUUUUGAGAAAUUCCGCCACUUGUUGAGUCUGUGAAGAACAUAAUAAACAACAUCAACAGAAAACAAGUUUACAGUGCGUUGGAGAGGAAGCGGAGAGGUAGGAUACAUGCUGACUGGGAUGUAGAUUGCUUCAGUAUUCCCUAUUGUGCAGUAUGUCAGCUCUAAAACGCUGGUAAGUGCAUUCGCUCCUUGCGCGGCCCGCGCUGCUACAUCUGCCGCGGGCCGUCUGCUCACCGCGACGCUCCCCGAGCCCCUGGCCGCCUGCCCUGACACCCGACACAAAGUAAUCACAGAUCACAGCAUUUAAUCACUGAAACAAGCACUCUGGAGAGGCGGCGUGUCAAUAUCCCACUCUCUCAUUAUCUCUUUGGAUUGCACAUCCACACUGUCAGAUAAACAGAGUGGAAAAUUAAGAUUAAAAAUAUGGUAAUUUCAUUUGAGCGCAGGCAAGCGCUCGCUCCCGCUGCCCCAUUAUGCUAUUGAUUACUCUCAAUUCAAUCUCUCCUUUCAAUGUAAACUUUAAUCUAUUCGCCACCCAACAAGCCUCACUCCCCCGGGGCUAUUUUAGAGUAAGUAACCAUUUAAUAUAAUAUCACUAGCGUUAAUGAAUUGUGUAAAUCACUGCUCUCCAACGAGCUCUCGAUACGAGAGCCAAGCGGUCCUUCCUUCUGUCAACUGCAUUUAACAAUAAGUGGACGUAAAUGUGGCUUUAAAAAUGAACGCGGGUCCGGUGUUUGAUGAUUGGCAGAAUAUUAAUUGCGACAUGCUUGAAAAUUAAGAGAUCGUUAUCAAGUUCAUUCAGAAAUGAAUCUCAGACAUAUGCUAUGGAAUCGCUUUUGUUUGCACAUUGAAUAAGAGAGAUGAGUACAAAAGCAGGAAUAAUUAUUAUGAAAGAAUAAUGACUAGACUCCACGGUGCUUAUGAACAUGAAACAAUUACUUGCUUAGCAAAGGCUUAAUAGGCUGUGAGAAAAUAUUGGAUGUAAAGCGGGAGCUGUACAACUCCAUCGCGCCAGAGCAUAAUAACAAGUGUUACUGGUUAUAUACAGAAAUUUCCAGUUUUAUAGUUAUUUAUGAUAAUGAUUGUUUUCCUGGGAACAUGUUCUCAUUGAAUACACUAUCAUAAUUGGGCAUUUAUUCAUUUAUCUAUAAAGCCAAUAUUUAAAAAAAUUAAGUAGUAGUGGUCUACCGAUAUAUCAGCCGAUAUUUGGCUUUUUUCAAUUAUCAGCAUGGAAACAAGGAAACAAUUGUUUACACAAUUGUUUUUUAUGGGUAAA